GAGUGCCUCUCUACCGUUGUCAGGCUUUUUGCUCAGUUAAACUUCACGCUGCCUGCUCAGUUUCUUGAAGACUGUAGCCUCGUCUUUCAGCUGCUUUCUGGCACGAGUGCUGCUGGGAUAGAUCUGCUGACAAUGCUUUUUCCCAAAGGAGGAAAGGCUUACCCCUGUGUGGCUUCUCCUGGACUCCUUCUGAGGCCCGUUCUGCUGAGGCAGAGCUGAAGAAACUUAGAGAUGAGGCACAGCCUCUUUCAGGUAACAUCUUGGCUUAAAAAUAUAGGAGACCUGCUUGAAAAACACCUGAGGAAAAAGUGUUUUCCAGCUGGCUCAAGACCUCUGUGACACCUUGCACCUGAAUGGUUUUGAUUUGCCCAGCUGAUUCUCAUUCAUGACAAAGUUUUUCCCCUUCUGUGACAGCAUCAUAGGGCCUUACAGUGGGCACAGAAGGGACGUGAGAUGCCUCAGGAAUCAUUGCAGGGAG
rnacentral:lncRNA from 1 species